rnacentral:tRNA from 1 species
GGUCCGGUAGUUCAGUUGGUUAGAACGCUGGCCUGUCACGCCAGAGGUCGCGAGUUCGAGUCUCGUCCGGACCGCAA